GAAAAUUUAUAAUUUAACUAUAUACUAAAAUUUUUACUUGCUCAUAUUUGUAUAACCGCGGGUAGCUGGCACAAAAUUUACCAUACUACUAUAUUAUUACUAUACAAAAUUUCUUCUUUAUUAAUAUCAGAUUCACUCUUUAUAAUAUAAAUAUAAAUUUAUUAGGUGAAAUUUUUAAAUUUAUUAAUUUAUUAUUUAAAAAAUAAUUUAAGCUAUAAACUUUUUGUAAUAAACUAGGAUUAGAUACCCUAUUAUUAAAAAUAAAUAUUAAAAUGCUAAAGUAGUAUUAGUUAUAUUCUUAAAAUUUAAAAAAUUUGGCGGUGUUUUAGUCUAUUUAGAGGAAUCUGUCCUGUAAUUGAUAAUUCACAUUGAACCUUACUUAAAUUUGUUUAAUUUGUAUAUCGUCGUCAUCAGAAUAUGUUAUAAGAUUUAAUUUUCUUAAUAUUUUAUUAAAUAAAAUGUCAGAUCAAGGUGCAGUUUAUAUUUAAGUAGAGAUGGAUUACAAUAAAUUUAUUUAAAUGAAUAAUUUUUUGAAACAAAAAUUUGAAGGUGGAUUUAAUAGUAAUAUAAAAUAGAUUAUUUAUAUGAUUUUAGCUCUAAAACAUGUACAUAUCGCCCAUCGUUCUUAUUUUUAAAAUAAGAUAAGUUGUAACAUAGUAGAUGUACUGGAAAGUGUAUCUAGAAAGA